rnacentral:rRNA from 1 species
UACGGAGGGUGCAAGCGUUAUCCGGAUUCACUGGGUUUAAAGGGUGCGUAGGUGGGCAGGUAAGUCAGUGGUGAAAUCUCCGGGCUUAACUCGGAAACUGCCAUUGAUACUAUCUUUCUUGAAUACCGUGGAGGUCAGCGGAAUAUGUCAUGUAGCGGUGAAAUGCUUAGAUAUGACAUAGAACACCUAUUGCGAAGGCAGCUUACUACGCAUAUAUUGACGCUGAGGCACGAAAGCGUGGGAAUCAAACAGG